AGCGUACACGGUGGAUGCCCUGGCAGUCAGAGGCGAUGAAGGACGUGCUAAUCUGCGAUAAGCGUCGGUAAGGUGAUAUGAACCGUUAUAACCGGCGAUUUCCGAAUGGGGAAACCCAGUGUGAUUCGUCACACUAUCAUUAACUGAAUCCAUAGGUUAAUGAGGCGAACCGGGGGAACUGAAACAUCUAAGUACCCCGAGGAAAAGAAAUCAACCGAGAUUCCCCCAGUAGCGGCGAGCGAACGGGGAGCAGCCCAGAGCCUGAAUCAGUGUGUGUGUUAGUGGAAGCGUCUGGAAAGGCGCGCGAUACAGGGUGACAGCCCCGUACACAAAAAUGCACAUGCUGUGAGCUCGAUGAGUAGGGCGGGACACGUGGUAUCCUGUCUGAAUAUGGGGGGACCAUCCUCCAAGGCUAAAUACUCCUGACUGACCGAUAGUGAACCAGUACCGUGAGGGAAAGGCGAAAAGAACCCCGGCGAGGGGAGUGAAAAAGAACCUGAAACCGUGUACGUACAAGCAGUGGGAGCCUCUUUAUGGGGUGACUGCGUACCUUUUGUAUAAUGGGUCAGCGACUUAUAUUCUGUAGCAAGGUUAACCGAAUAGGGGAGCCGAAGGGAAACCGAGUCUUAACUGGGCGUUAAGUUGCAGGGUAUAGACCCGAAACCCGGUGAUCUAGCCAUGGGCAGGUUGAAGGUUGGGUAACACUAACUGGAGGACCGAACCGACUAAUGUUGAAAAAUUAGCGGAUGACUUGUGGCUGGGGGUGAAAGGCCAAUCAAACCGGGAGAUAGCUGGUUCUCCCCGAAAGCUAUUUAGGUAGCGCCUCGUGAAUUCAUCUCCGGGGGUAGAGCACUGUUUCGGCAAGGGGGUCAUCCCGACUUACCAACCCGAUGCAAACUGCGAAUACCGGAGAAUGUUAUCACGGGAGACACACGGCGGGUGCUAACGUCCGUCGUGAAGAGGGAAACAACCCAGACCGCCAGCUAAGGUCCCAAAGUCAUGGUUAAGUGGGAAACGAUGUGGGAAGGCCCAGACAGCCAGGAUGUUGGCUUAGAAGCAGCCAUCAUUUAAAGAAAGCGUAAUAGCUCACUGGUCGAGUCGGCCUGCGCGGAAGAUGUAACGGGGCUAAACCAUGCACCGAAGCUGCGGCAGCGACGCUUAUGCGUUGUUGGGUAGGGGAGCGUUCUGUAAGCCUGUGAAGGUGUGCUGUGAGGCAUGCUGGAGGUAUCAGAAGUGCGAAUGCUGACAUAAGUAACGAUAAAGCGGGUGAAAAGCCCGCUCGCCGGAAGACCAAGGGUUCCUGUCCAACGUUAAUCGGGGCAGGGUGAGUCGACCCCUAAGGCGAGGCCGAAAGGCGUAGUCGAUGGGAAACAGGUUAAUAUUCCUGUACUUGGUGUUACUGCGAAGGGGGGACGGAGAAGGCUAUGUUGGCCGGGCGACGGUUGUCCCGGUUUAAGCGUGUAGGCUGGUUUUCCAGGCAAAUCCGGAAAAUCAAGGCUGAGGCGUGAUGACGAGGCACUACGGUGCUGAAGCAACAAAUGCCCUGCUUCCAGGAAAAGCCUCUAAGCAUCAGGUAACAUCAAAUCGUACCCCAAACCGACACAGGUGGUCAGGUAGAGAAUACCAAGGCGCUUGAGAGAACUCGGGUGAAGGAACUAGGCAAAAUGGUGCCGUAACUUCGGGAGAAGGCACGCUGAUAUGUAGGUGAAGUCCCUCGCGGAUGGAGCUGAAAUCAGUCGAAGAUACCAGCUGGCUGCAACUGUUUAUUAAAAACACAGCACUGUGCAAACACGAAAGUGGACGUAUACGGUGUGACGCCUGCCCGGUGCCGGAAGGUUAAUUGAUGGGGUCAGCGCAAGCGAAGCUCUUGAUCGAAGCCCCGGUAAACGGCGGCCGUAACUAUAACGGUCCUAAGGUAGCGAAAUUCCUUGUCGGGUAAGUUCCGACCUGCACGAAUGGCGUAAUGAUGGCCAGGCUGUCUCCACCCGAGACUCAGUGAAAUUGAACUCGCUGUGAAGAUGCAGUGUACCCGCGGCAAGACGGAAAGACCCCGUGAACCUUUACUAUAGCUUGACACUGAACAUUGAGCCUUGAUGUGUAGGAUAGGUGGGAGGCUUAGAAGUGUGGACGCCAGUCUGCAUGGAGCCGACCUUGAAAUACCACCCUUUAAUGUUUGAUGUUCUAACGUUGACCCGUAAUCCGGGUUGCGGACAGUGUCUGGUGGGUAGUUUGACUGGGGCGGUCUCCUCCUAAAGAGUAACGGAGGAGCACGAAGGUUGGCUAAUCCUGGUCGGACAUCAGGAGGUUAGUGCAAUGGCAUAAGCCAGCUUGACUGCGAGCGUGACGGCGCGAGCAGGUGCGAAAGCAGGUCAUAGUGAUCCGGUGGUUCUGAAUGGAAGGGCCAUCGCUCAACGGAUAAAAGGUACUCCGGGGAUAACAGGCUGAUACCGCCCAAGAGUUCAUAUCGACGGCGGUGUUUGGCACCUCGAUGUCGGCUCAUCACAUCCUGGGGCUGAAGUAGGUCCCAAGGGUAUGGCUGUUCGCCAUUUAAAGUGGUACGCGAGCUGGGUUUAGAACGUCGUGAGACAGUUCGGUCCCUAUCUGCCGUGGGCGCUGGAGAACUGAGGGGGGCUGCUCCUAGUACGAGAGGACCGGAGUGGACGCAUCACUGGUGUUCGGGUUGUCAUGCCAAUGGCACUGCCCGGUAGCUAAAUGCGGAAGAGAUAAGUGCUGAAAGCAUCUAAGCACGAAACUUGCCCCGAGAUGAGUUCUCCCUGACUCCUUGA
rnacentral:rRNA from 1 species